GAGUUUGAUCAUGGCUCAGAGCGAACGCUGGCGGCACGCCUAACACAUGCAAGUCGAGCGAGAAAGUGACUUCGGUCGCGAGUAAAGCGGCGAACGGGUGAGUACAACGUGGAUAAUCUACCCUGGGGUCUGGGACAACCCCGAGAAAUCGGGGCUAAUACCGGAUAAGACCACCGUAUCCAAGGAUACAGGGGUAAAAGAUUUAUCGCCUUUGGAUGAGUCCACGUCCCAUCAGGUAGUUGGUAAGGUAAAGGCUUACCAAGCCUAAGACGGGUAGCCGGCCUUAGCGGGUGAACGGCCACAUGGGGACUGAGACACGGCCCUGACUCCUACGGGAGGCAGCAGUGGGGAAUAUUGGGCAAUGGGCGAAAGCCUGACCCAGCGAUGCCGCGUGAGGGAUGAAGGCCUUCGGGUUGUAAACCUCUGUCAGGAGGGACGAUGGGACUUUGUCUUGACGGUACCUCCAGAGGAAGCCCCGGCUAACUCCGUGCCAGCAGCCGCGGUAAUACGGAGGGGGCAAGCGUUGCUCGGAAUUACUGGGCGUAAAGGGUCCGCAGGCUGUCGGGCAAGUUGGAUGUGAAAGCUCAAGGCUUAACCUUGGAAUUGCAUCCAAAACUGCCUGACUAGAGUCCAAGAGAGGUUGGCGGAAUUCCCG
rnacentral:rRNA from 1 species